UUUGGUUGUACAUACCAUUAGAAAUAUGAUGGGUAUCACCCCCAACAACAGUGCCCUUUUUCCAUUGUUCAACAAUUAUCUCAAAAGAAAAGAGAACACACCACUAACUUCUCAAUGUGCAUCAUGACUCAGUAAAGCUUCCAGUGCAUGAACAUACUUCCUCCUUUUCCUUUUUAUAUAGAACAUAUGGCCGUGUGUUGCACUGGGAGAAAAAUAUUGGCGUUGUCACUCAUUUACAAACCCACUUCGUGUGCCACACUAUUUCUUCUAGCCAACUUUGACACUGCGGGAUAUUUCUUCUGUUCAACUUUGACAAACUUCACAGCUAGCAACAAUGUGGAAGUAAUGUUUUUGUCGUCAUGCCUACAACAGUUUGACAAAAAGGAAAUAUAAAAAUAGCUACAUUCAAGAACAGAGGGAAAACUUUGUCAAACUUGCAAACCUUGUGUUACUUUUCUUGCUUUUAGCAAGUGAAUGUUACUUGUGUGUAGAUGAUAUCUGAAAAGCUCCUAGAGAAAGAUGGAAAGUGUUAACUAUACUGAGUUAACUAUAUAUAAUACAAAACGUAUGCAAGGAUACACUUUUCUAUACAUCAACUUACAGAGG
rnacentral:lncRNA from 1 species